rnacentral:rRNA from 1 species
CCUACGAGAGGCAGCAGUGGGGGAUAUUGCACAAUGGGGGAAACCCUGAUGCAGCGACGCCGCGUGUGGGAAGACGGUCCUCUGGAUUGUAAACCACUGUCCCCAGGGACGAAGAUGACGGUACUUGGGGAGGAAGCUCCGGCUAACUACGUGCCAGCAGCCGCGGUAAUACGUAGGGAUCGAGCGUUGUCCGGAAUUACUGGGUGUAAAGGGAGCGUAGGCGGGACUGCAAGUUGGGUGUCAAAUCUACCGGCUCAACAGGUAGCCGCACGCAAAACUGCAGUUCUUGAGUGAAGUAGAGGCAGGCGGAAUUCGUAGUGUAGCGGUGAAAUGCGUAGAGAGUAGGAGGAACACCAGUGGCGAAGGCGGCCUGCUGGGCUUUUACUGACGCUGAGGCUCGAAAGUGUGGGGAGCAAACAGGAUUAGAUACCCCUGUAGUC